UAGGUAAAUCUGCUUACCGAUCAGUAUAAAAAACAGCUGAACAUUCUAAUUUUAAUCUGAUUUUUCCAAAGCAAUGAGUCACAUUUUGAUCCUAAUCGGCAUUUUUUUCACAUCUGGUGAACUGGAAGGUACUCUCCUCCAAAAUGUGGCAAUAAAUGGGAUGGCUACCCAGUCUUCACUGAACAGCAGCUUUGGUGCUCCUCAAAAGGCAAUCG